rnacentral:lncRNA from 1 species
CACUUACUGUUCAAUAGUAUAUACUCUGUAUUUGAAAAAUAGAUGUAUAUAUUCUAGGUGAUAAAUUAAAAAUGAAAGAAUUUAAUCAUUGGAAAGUAUUAAAUAUAUAUUGCUUAUCUUCUCCAAGGAAGAGGAGUUCUCUCGUACCCAUCCAAACUGACCUAAUUCUCAAGCUGCUUCAUCUUGCUAGUACUGUAGGUUCAUUUGCAAUUUGUAGAUAAUGCUCCUUCAGGAUUGGCUUUUGUAAAUUUCUGUUAGAAGCUGGUUUCUGCAUUUUGAUUUUUGUGUAUUUGGAUACAUUUUCAUAUAGGUUGCAGAGAAAUCCAUGAGUUAAAAAAUUAUUUUUCCUGUUUUAUUUCUGCAUGAACCUAAGUCACAUUGACCCAGUAAUUGAUAUAUGUGUGAUUAUUGCAAUUAAGUAUAAGAAGGUAGAAUAUAUAGUUUUAUUAGACAGAUGCUUCUGAAAUAUUAAUUUUGUAUGUUUUUACUAUAUCCUUUUUGUGUAUCUACAGAUACAACAGACAUGCAAGAGAAUGGACUCAGAAAUAUGCAAUGUAAAAAUCAAAAACAUUUUCAUAUAUACCAGAGUACUGUAAAAUCUAGGUUUUUUUCAACAUUAGCAGUAAAUUGAGCACUGUUUACUGUUUCAUUGUACCAUGAAACCAUUUGAUUUUUACCCAUUUUAAAUGUGUUUCUGAAGCAAGACAAAACAAACUUCCAAAAAUACCCUUAAGACUGUGAUGAGAGCAUUUAUCAUUUUGUAUGCAUUGAGAAAGACAUUUAUUAUGGUUUUUAAGAUACUUGGACAUCUGCAUCUUCAGCUUACAAGAUCUACAAUGCAGCUGAAAAGCAACCAAAUUAUUUUUUGCUGAAACUAGAUGUUUUUACAUGAGAAAUACUGUAUGUGUUGUCUAAGAUGUCAGUUUUAUAAAUCUGUAUUCAGAUUUCAUUCUUUGUUAGCUCACUUUAUAAUUUGUAUUUUUUUACUGUAUAGACUAAAUAUAUUCUAUUUACAUGUAUGUCAACUCAUUACUUUUUUCCUGUGAACAGUAUUGAAAAACCCCAACGGCUGAUAAUUAAGUGAAUUAACUGUGUCUCCCUUGUCUUAGGAUAUUCUGUAGAUUGAUUGCAGAUUUCUUAAAUCUGAAAUGAUCUUUACACUGUAAUUCUCAGCAUACUGAUUAUGGAGAAACACUUGUUUUGAUUUUGUUAUACUUGACUUAACUUUAUUGCAAUGUGAAUUAAUUGCACUGCUAAGUAGGAAGAUGUGUAACUUUUAUUUGUUGCUAUUCACAUUUGAAUUUUUUCCUGUAUAGGCAAUAUUAUAUUGACACCUUUUACAGAUCUUACUGUAGCUUUUUCCAUAUAAAUAAAAUGCUUUUUCUACU